AAAAAGAAGCGGAAACCCGGUCACCGUCAUUUGAACGUGGCGCGGCGGAUCUCGGCGGACGUCACGGAGACUUCUCUGACUUCAUCGGUAAAAUCUGCUUUAAAAUGUCUCCGCAGUCCAUAAAUGGUCACGUCAGUCACAGAGGAUCAUGACCUUCAGGGACACCGUACAGAAGCUGCUCACUGGUGUCACGAUGGAGGAUGAGAGUAAUUCAUCAGCUCAGCUGAACCAAGACACAGGAUGAAUGGCGUGUCAAGCUAUCUUCAACAUCGAUGACCAUCAAAGCCUGUGAAGUUGGCUGAAAGAAACGUCUGCAUAUUCGUUGAGACGUGACACUCGAAGGCCAUCACUUGUGACAUAAAGCCGGGUGAACGUUACAGCGAUGCUGUCAUGACCACCGAAUCGUCAACAGGUGACGACUUAACCCGAGAAGCCGGGUGGACGUGACUCUCCCGGCUUUCAUAUCGCUGAUGGUGCCUAAUGUCUGGUCGACCAUGAACAAGGAGCUGCAUCACAGACUCAGGAAGGCAAUGUUUUUGUUGAUCAAGGAAUAAAGAGUCAAAUGUUGCUAAAUGAA